AUUGAACGCUGGCGGCAUGCCUUACACAUGCAAGUCGAACGGCAGCACGGGAGCAAUCCUGGUGGCGAGUGGCGAACGGGUGAGUAAUAUAUCGGAACGUGCCCAGUCGUGGGGAUAACGUAGCGAAAGCUACGCUAAUACCGCAUACGAUCUAUGGAUGAAAGCGGGGGAUCGCAAGACCUCGCGCGAUUGGAGCGGCCGAUAUCAGAUUAGGUAGUUGGUGAGGUAAAGGCUCACCAAGCCGACGAUCUGUAGCUGGUCUGAGAGGACGACCAGCCACACUGGGACUGAGACACGGCCCAGACUCCUACGGGAGGCAGCAGUGGGGAAUUUUUGGGACAAUGGACGCAAGUCUGAUCCAGCCAUUCCGCGUGCAGGAUGAAGGCCCUCGGGUUGUAACUGCUUUUGUACGGAACGAAAGGUUUGUCUUAAUACGAUGAGCUCAUGACGGUACCGUAAGAAUAAGCACCGGCUAACUAC
rnacentral:rRNA from 1 species